GAGAUAGAGAGAGAGAGAGAGAUUUAUGUGAGAGAGGCACAUCAAUUGGUUGCCUCCCACAGGUGCCCCAACUAGGGCCUGGGACUAAGCCUGCAACGGAAGUACGUGCCCUUGACUGGAAUCAAACCUGGCACCCUUCAGUACACAGGCUGACACUCUAUCCACUGAGCCAAACCAGGUAGGGCCUUAAAAAUAUUUAAGUUAGUUUUGUUUUUCUUAAAGUGAUAUGCUACUGCUCUAACUCCAAUCAGCAGUUUCUGGGGGAUAUGUGUGCCAUAAAAAUACACAUAAGGUGUUAAAUGCUGGGGAUGUCUGUAAUACUUUCAGCAAUAAAGAUAAAUUUUUAAAAAAAGAUGUUAAGUGCACAGGUGUGCAUCAUCCUCUUACUGUAAAUUUAUAGUAUAACAUGUUUUUAAACCCAAGGUAUAAGUUCAUUUCCUCACAUAUUCCUACAUUUGUCUUUUAUGAGCAGAGAGAAGUUAGAAACUUCUAAGAUUUCUUUACAUUCUCCAGAGUCUAUGUUUCUGUGUUUGAAGGGAUGAAUGUGUAACUGGAACCCAAGGUGGGCUGCCUGCUGCCACAAAAACCAAACUCAUUAGACAGAUGCUGGUGAAAAAGAGGUUUUAAUUGAAGUGCCGAUUGCCUGAGGAGAUGGGGGACUCUUGUUGCAAAGCCCAUAUCAAGGUCUAAGUGCAGGCAGAGUUUUUAUAAGGAGGGAGAGGCAACGCAGAACAAAGAAAUCAAGGGAAGGGAGUUGAAAAAUUCUCGGUGUGCAGUCCAGCACAGUCCAUUCUAAUAAGACCUUCAAAACUGCUCAAGUGAUAGUCUAGUGUGGAUCAUCCUGGUACUUUGUCAUCCUGGUUCUGCGUUUGAAGGUCAGCAAAUCUCCUGGAACUGGGAUGACUGAAGGUCGGAGUUGGUAACUUCUGAAGUUAGUUCCUAGGAUUCUUAUACAAAUGUACUGUUUAUUUACAAGCUACAUAUUAGUCAGAAUCAUCAUUUACAGGAACAAUAUCAGAAAAAUAGUGGGGUGGGUUACAAAUGUGCAGAUGCUCAACUUUCAAUGGGAUCACCAGUUGACGUCACCCAGGGUUUUUUUUUGGUGAUAGCUGUGAGAUAAUAGGAAAUACAGGGUGUGACAAAAAUCACAGAGGACGAUCUAGAUUUGCCAUUGGCAUCUGAAGUUGGGGGAUGGGAGAGAGUCUUAUGGGACUGAGCCCUUAACCAGUGGGAUGUGAUGAUAUCUCCAGGUGAAUAGCAUUAGAAUUGAGUUAAUUGUAAGACACUGAACUGUUGUCGAAGUGUUGCUUGCUGGUGUGGAAGCGCACACGCUUAUUGCUCCCAUUCUGGUGUCAGAAGUGGUGUGAUUGUGGUAACACAUUAGUGGGAAUAAAUGAGAAACAUCACAGGAGUGCUGGGUGUUAGGUUUUUUUCUUUACAGUAGCCAUCCUCAUGAGUGUAGACAUUACUGUUUUGUUUUUUUAAAUGUUUUUAUUAGAGAGAGAGGAAGGGAGAGGGACAGAAGAGAGAAACAUCGAUGUAAGAAACAUUGACCCGCUGCCUCCUGCAUGCCCCUCAUCAGGGACUGAGCCCGAAACCGGUGACCUUUGGUGCACAGGAUGACACUCAACUAACUGAGCCACAUGGCCCAGGACAAUAUUACUGUAUCACUGUUUUUUAAUGAUAACAGUAGACAGAGUUUUCACAAGGAAGGGUAGCAAUAAAGCAGUAAUUUUUCCUCCCUACCAUUCAGAGAUGAGAGGAGGGUCAGCCUUUAUUGGAGGUAAAGAGUUCAAUUAGCAUUAGGGAAAUUUUGAAAGAGAAUUGGAAGCUUUGGCAAAAUUAGAGCUGGAAGGACCCUUAGGGGGUUAUGUAGUUCAGUCCCUUUAUCUCUUUGUAGGACUUUAUUAAAACUAAUCUUAAUAGAUGAUUCCAUCCUAUUUUUAAAGACCUCUGGAGGAUUUGCAGGACAUUUUCUCAUCAGCAUGUUCAGUAUUCAGUGAUCUUAAUUUCCAAGAGUUGGGUGUGUUUUUUUAAAGCUCCUUGUUAAUGGCACUUUUUUUUUUAGAUCUUUAAUUUCUUUAUAGAACCUUGUGAGAUGUUCCUUAAUUAGUUAAUAAGUAUAGAAGGGAAAAAAUUUUCUGCUUUUGAGACAGUUUUGAACCUAACUUUAUUUUCUUUAGUAGUAAUUUUAAUGAAAUAUUAGAAGGAUGAUAGCCUUUUAGCCACCAAAAUAAAUAAGAUUCAAAAGGAGGAAUUGGGGUACAAGUUAUGUUCUUAUUUAAAUAAUAAGCCAGGAGAAAUAGGAAGAACAAAAUGCUGGUCCUGCUACUUAUAUGGUUCUUAGAAGGCUACAAAUGAAUAACUAAUGAAGGGUGGCUUACUAAAUAGCUACUAGCUUUUGUUUCCACUUAAUAGAAACCGUAACUCUGAAAAUAAGUUAUGAGACAAGAACAGGAGGAGUAGCUAGAAUGUCCAGUAUACCUGUUCAGGUUUCCCAGGGCCUGAUGAGACACUGGAAGACCUAAGGCUUUGCAAAAAUGUUGUAACUGUUUACUACUUGUGGGACUGAAUUAUUGUUUCAAAUGUUUUUGUUCUGACAGGAAGAGCAUUUCUAUCUGGAUCUGAAAGAUUCCAGAGUCAUUUGAAGUACUCAGGAAUUCUCUAAUAAAAAUUCUUGAGAGCCCUGACCGGUUUUGCUCAGUGGGUAGAGCAACGGCCUGGGGACUGAAGGGUCCCAGGUUCGAUUCCGGUCAAGGGCAUGUACCUUGGUUGUGGACAUAUCCCCAGUGGGGGGUGUGCAGGAGGCAACUGAUCGAUGUUUCUCUCUCAUCGAUGUUUCUGGCUCUCUAUCCCUCUCCCUUCCUCUCUGUAGAAAAUCAAUAAAA